GUCUGGUUACUGCCACGGUGGGUGCUGCUGGUCUGGCCCUGUCCCUGGGGCCCCUCUACAGCCACCCACAGGAGGCUGGGCCACUCUGGCGGGGAAGGAGGGGAGUGGCUAGUGAAUUGGGGUUGGAGGAGGGUGGGCCUGCUUCUCCAGUGACAGUGGGCUUGGUGACUGCUGGAACACAGAGGACUCGCCCUGCCUCCCUGGCCAGGAAGCAGGCACUGCCACCAAGCCCAUUUUACACGUGAUGAAACUGAAGCAGAGGUGGGUCUGGAACCCAGAUGCCAAACCCAAACCCUUGACUGUGGGCUCCGCUGCCUCGAAGAAGGUCUGUAACUUAAGCCCGGUCCACCAUCCAGCACUCACCAGACGUGGGAUCACUGGAGCCGCCCUCAGAGAAGACACCCCAGGACAGAGGCUUCCUCCUCUCUUCUUUGCCUGCUGACCUGGGAGCCACCACCCUUGGCACCAGAGGGCUCCAACCUUCAGCACAGCUCCCAGGCAGACUCCGCCCCCAAGCUUAGCCCCGCCUCCAACCAUCAACUCCUCCCCCAGCCAGAGCCCACCUUACAACUCCCAACCGCAGCUCUACCCCAGGACAAGACCACACCCCCCCACAAGUCUAAGCCCACCCUAAAGCCCAGGUCCACCCAGAGGCUCACCAUCACCCAGACUCUACCCCAGGUAGACCCCUGCUCUUCACCUUGAAGGACUCGAAGAAGCCGCCGCCCCCGCCGCCGUUCUCCAUCUUGUCCUCGUCUCCACCCAGGCCCAUCAUGGACUGGCUGUGGA